rnacentral:piRNA from 1 species
UUUUAAAAAAGAAAAAGGUGGUU